rnacentral:rRNA from 1 species
UACGUAGGGGGCAAGCGUUGUCCGGAAUCAUUGGGCGUAAAGCGCGUGUAGGCGGCUCGAUAAGUCUGCUGUGAAAGUCCAGGGCUCAACCCUGGGAUGCCGGUGGAUACUGUCGAGCUCGAGUCCGGAAGAGGCGAGUGGAAUUCCUGGUGUAGCGGUGAAAUGCGUAGAUAUCGGGAGGAACACCAGUGGCGAAGGCGACUACCUGGCCUGUUCUUGACGCUGAGGCGCGAAAGCUAGGGGAGCAAACGGG